rnacentral:rRNA from 1 species
UCCUAGUACGAGAGGACCAGAGUGGACGAACCUCUGGUGUACCGGUUGUGACGCCAGUCGCAUCGCCGGGUAGCUAUGUUCGGAAGGGAUAACCGCUGAAAGCAUCUAAGCGGGAAGCCUACCUCAAGAUAAGAUUUCCCUAGGACUUUAUGUCCUCUAAAGAGCCGUUCGAGACUAGGACGUUGAUAGGUUGGAUGUGGAAGCAUAGUGAUAUGUGAAGCUGACCAAUACUAAUUGCUCGUGAGGCUUGACUAUACAACACCCAAGCAGUUG